GGCGAGUGACGUCACUUCCGUAUGUUCGAAUGGCAAUGGCGGGAGCUGGCGGCGGGCGGCGCUCGGCGGGGACGACCCCGAGGGUGACGCGACGCAGCUCCAAGAGGUUGGUGGUCUCGGCCCCGCGGGGUGGCCCCCCCUGGGCACCCCCGUCCCGCAGCCCCUUGGGCAGCCCGGACUUUGAGCAGCCCCGGCGGAGCCCCCGGCUCCAGAGCCAGAAGGAGAACGACCCCUGCCCCCCCUGC